UACAUGUGGGGCAAGCGUUGUUCGGAAUUACUGGGCAUAAAGGGUGCGUAGGCGGCGUUGUAAGUCAGAGGUGAAAUCCCACGGCCCAACCGUGGAACGGCCUUUGAUACUGCAGUGCUUGAGUGCGUGAGGGGUGACUGGAACGCGUGGUGUAGCGGUGAAAUGCGUAGAUAUCACGCGGAAGGCCAAAGGCGAAGGCAAGUCACUGGUACGCAACUGACGCUGAGGCACGAAAGCGUGGGGAGCAAACAGG
rnacentral:rRNA from 1 species